UGCUGUUGCUGCUGCUGUCACUGUUUACGUGUUAAUUCAAUUAUCUGAUGGAAAACUUUUAGCCCCUGAAUAGGGGUCAACCCAUGGACAGCCCUUAACAGGACUCAGGCUUCCAAAGGUAGUUCAUACUUGACCUCAUCUCUUCCACGCGUACCCUCUGCUUUAUCCUUUCCACUUCCUUUUUGUUACAGAAAGAAACAAACGGCAGGGCUCAUGUUAGACUCAGAGUUCUUUCCCACACACUCUCUUAAGUGCAAGGUGGACUUGACAUUCCAAAGAGCUCCAGAACUCAUGCCUGCAAACUCAUUCUGGGGCCCUGGGGCUGACCUCCAGUUCCAGAAAAGCAGCCUGUGAGAGAUUUGAAAUUACCCAGGACCAGCACAUUUGACGGUAACAAAUAUGAAGAAAUAAUUCCUGGAUCCGGAAGGGAAGAGGAGGUGUCGGGAUACUACAAAGAAUUAUCAAGUCGUCUAGAUAAUAAACAGAUACAUCAGUACCUCUUACCCA
rnacentral:lncRNA from 13 species